UUUUAAACAAACAGAACCUAGAUCCCACACCACGUUUUGGGUAUUUUAUUUUAUCCAGGUUCCUUUGCUGGAAAUAUCCAAGAUGCUACUGCACAUUACGUCUGUUUGCCCUACAGUGAAAUAUCAAUGGUUAUGAAACGUUAAGAUAUAUUAUCCAUGGCCAAAUUUAUAUCUCAUUAAAUGAUUAUAAAACAAAGAAUAUCAGUGGCAGUAAGGAAUUUAUUCCAUAAACUUGAGCAAGGUUGCACAACUGAUGAAACACCAACAAAGUAUGACGAGUCUGUUACAUACGUCUCCGGAUAAACAGUCCCAAAUUACUUCCCAGUUCCCACCAACAGGUUGUCAGGGACGCUGGAAGAUCCAUCUCUUAGCAAAUUUUGAAAGCUGCAUGUCAAAAACUUUAAUCAAUGUAAUGGCCGGAACAAAAAUCAAGGUAAAAACUGCAAACCCAAACAGAAAUAAAGGCUCAAGCAAGUAAAAGCUAUAAAUUAGAUGCUAGGAUAAGCUUUUCAAUCAAUAUAAACAGCUAAGCUUCCAGGAAAAAGCCCAGAAACGGGUGGUUACGUCCAGCAAGACAUCCAUUGUGACUAGCAUCAAAUAUAAUCAUUUUACCCAUCUGCCCAUCCCCAUAGCAGUGCAUGUGCAUGUCUUUCAGCUGCACAUGUUCUAAUAAGUUUAAACGAUUUCCAUUAUGUUAAAGAAAAAACUACACUUCUAGAAUAGGUAAUGCCUUCACCUCUGCUGUUCCUAAAAUUCAAGAACUUCAUUGACAAUUAUAUGACUGCAAGCAACUAAUCCACUACCAACUACAACUGAAGAAUGCACACACAUAUAACACGGUUCAAGAAUAUUCCAAUGAAUGGAUAAUUGCAAAAUAAUGAUUCAAAUUUCAAGAUAAUUCAUUUCAAUGUACAUGCAUGCACAAAUGAAUAGAAUUAUUUUUUUUUCUUUUCCCAUAUUCCUUUUCAUCUUGAUUUCCCUAUCAAAAUGUAAUCCUGGGUUCAAGUUACAUGAAGCUUUUUGAUCCCAUUAAGAACAAAUUGGCCUUUGAUUUAAACUCAUGGGUACUCAUGGGCAUGAAUUAUUUAAACUUUGGGAACUAAAAGCAGGGGUAAGGCUGCAUUUAUCAAACCAAAGCCCACAAGUUGGGGAUGCUUCGUACACUUAGUCACCCUUUACUUUUUUUUAGGAACUGAAGCAACUUUUUCACAUGGUAGGAAAUAAACCAAUUAUCAUAGCAAGAUGGGGACCCGUUUCACAUGGUAGGAAAUAAGCUCAAUACUAGCAACAAUCAUAGAUAUUGAGGUCCUAGAAAUCACAAAGAUAGUUUGUAUAACCAAGAUGUGCACCUGUUUCACAAUACCAGGAAUAGGGAAGGAAAAGUGCUGAGGCAGCUAAAGUGCUAGUUAUAAUGUUCUCACACUGAAACACUGUAUAUAUGACCAGUGUUAUUAAGGCGAAAGGCUACAGGGUAUCCUAUGGCCUUUUGCAAGAGGCGAGGCAAGGCAAGACGAGGGCUUUUUUGAAGCGAGAUGCCAUAGCCUAACUUGCUUAAAUUAUAUAUAUAUAUACACAUAAUUUUAACAUAAAAAUAUCAUACUU
rnacentral:misc_RNA from 1 species